GGAGAAUUUAACGGGGCUAAACCUGACACCGAAGCUUAGGCAACAUGUUUACAUGUUGGGUAGGGGAGCGUUGUAUACGCGGUGAAACAGUAGCGCAAGCGGCUGUGGAGUGUAUAGAAGUGAGAAUGCCGGAAUGAGUAGCGCGAAUGCAGUGCGAAUCUGCAUGGCCGAAAGCCUCAGGUUUCUGGAGGAAGGUUCGUCCGCUCCAGGUUAGUCGGGAGCUAAGGUGAGGCCUAACGGCGUAGCCGAUGCACAGACGGUAGAGAUUCCGUCACCACCAAAAGAGUUAAACACAGGGACACAUAUGAAGUCUCGGAGCCGGGUGUUGGUUCCGGUAGCGAUCGAGGGAAGUUAGUACCGAAGUCUGAGAUGGAAGAUGGCGAGAAAAGCUGUGUGUAUUUCUGCGGUGCCCGUACCGCAAACCGACACAGGUAGGUAGGAAGAAGAUUCUAAGGCCAACGGGAGAAGGGUUGUUAAGGAACUCGGCAAAUUGACCCCGUAACUUCGGGAGAAGGGGUGCUGCAGCGAUGCAGCCGCAGAGAAUCGGCCCAAGCAACUGUUUACCAAAAACACAGGUUUGUGCUAAAUCGAAAGAUGACGUAUACGAGCUGACGCCUGCCCGGUGCUGGAAGGUUAAGAGGAGAUGUGCAAGCAUUGAAUCGAAGCCCCAGUGAACGGCGGCCGUAACUAUAACGGUCCUAAGGUAGCGAAAUUCCUUGUCAGGUAAGUUCUGACCCGCAUGAAAGGCGUAAUGAUUUGGGCACUGUCUCAACAGCCCGCCCGGCGAAAUUGUAGUACCGGUGAAGAUGCCGGUUACCCGCGACAAGACGGAAAGACCCCAUGGAGCUUUACUGUAGCCUAAUAUUGGGUUUCGAUGUUGCAUGCACAGGAUAGAUGGGACUCUUGGAAACGAUUGCUUUGGCGGUCGCGGAGAGGCCGUUGGGAUACCAUCCUUGCGAUAUUGGAAUUCUAACCUGCGCCUUUGAAUCAAGGCGGGGGACAUUGUUAGGUGGGCAGUUUGACUGGGGCGGUCGCCUCCUAAAGAGUAACGGAGGCGUUCAAAGGUUCGCUCAGCUUGAACGGAAAUCAAGCAAAAGAGUGCAAACGCAGAAGCGAGCCUAACUGCGAGACUGACGGGUCGAGCAGUAACGAAAGUUGGAGUUAGUGAUCCGGUGGUAUGUGAGUGGAAAUGCCAUCGUUCAACGGAUAAAAGUUACCCUGGGGAUAACAGGCUGAUCUCCCCCAAGAGUCCACAUCGACGGGGAGGUUUGGCACCUCGAUGUCGGCUCAUCGCAUCCUGGGGCUGUAUUCGGUCCCAAGGGUUUGGCUGUUCGCCAAUUAAAGCGGUACGCGAGCUGGGUUCAGAACGUCGUGAGACAGUUCGGUCCCUAUCUGUCGUGGGCGCAGGAUAUUUGAUGGGAGCUGUUCCUAGUACGAGAGGACCGGAGCGGACGUACCUCUGGCGCACCAGUUGUUCUGCCAAGGGCAUAGCUGGGCAACUAUGUACGGAUCGGAUAAACGCUGAAAGCAUCUAAGCGUGAAGCCGACCCAAAGAUAAGAUAUCCCAUUGUUUCAAACAAGUAAGACCCCUUGAAGACUACAAGGUUGAUAGGCAUGAUGUGUAAGUGGAGUGAUCCAUUCAGCAAGCAUGUACUAAUAGGUCGAGGGCUUGAUC
rnacentral:rRNA from 1 species